UACGUAGGGCGCAAGCGUUAUCCGGAAUUAUUGGGCGUAAAGAGCUCGUAGGCGGUUUGUCGCGUCUGCUGUGAAAACCCGAGGCUCAACCUCGGGCCUGCAGUGGGUACGGGCAGACUAGAGUGCGGUAGGGGAGAUUGGAAUUCCUGGUGUAGCGGUGGAAUGCGCAGAUAUCAGGAGGAACACCAAUGGCGAAGGCAGAUCUCUGGGCCGUAACUGACGCUGAGGAGCGAAAGCGUGGGGAGCGAUCCGG
rnacentral:rRNA from 1 species